CGCACCUGAAUGACUCAAGGCGCGCUCAUGCAAAAUUAAAACGUACACAAUGUUAUAAUCAUCACAAUUUAUUAACCCUUAAAAACCCCUUGCGGGGUAUUACAUAAGGGAGCAAGCAAAGACCUCAGUAUGAAACAAUGAUCACCACUAUAAACAGUUUUCUUUCUUUCCAAAAACAAUAUCAGAAUGGAACGGGCUUCCGCGUGACGUGGUCAGCUUGACAAACCAAGAUUCCUUCUUAUCUGCUGUCGUGGCUCUGUUACAGAUGCAGUGUGUUUGUUCAUGCUCUUUUUUUUUUUGAAUUUUUUUUAGAAACGCAAAAUAUUUGUUCUUGCUCCUGUGCUCGCUUUUUAUUGUGUGCGCGCUUGCUUUGUUGUAUCGCGUUGUACAGCGAUGUAUGUUUGUACCACUCCUGCCUUGGCUACCAAAUGGCGGCUGGCAGUAUUGAAUAAAUAAAUAAAAAUAAACAAAGCAGUACAUGUAUACAAAUAGUACACUUACGUGCCUGAUACGUACCGUUUUCAUCAUAAGCAUAUUCGCCGGUGGGAGGGGGCGGAAAGGAACACAAAGUACGGUAUUUCCUCGCUCACUUUUGAGAGCGGGCACCGAUGGCUGAACGUACACUGGUAAAUCCAACAGAACAGCAGCUGAGGCCAAGUUUUCUUUCUGGCAUAGCAACGGAUGCUGCACGAUGUGCCUAUGUUCCUUUUGCGCUCUCUUGUAAGCGAUGAAUAAUGAAUUUAUAACCGCAAAUGCACUACUGUGGUAGCUGACAGACCAGGAAGCAAAGGACGUCGGCUUCUGAUCCAUAAAUCAAGCUGCAGAAGUCAAGACCCCCAGCAGUGCAAAGAGAAGGAAGAAAUGAAGUAAGAUGUUCAGAAACAGAAGGUAGUCAGCAUAAAAAAGGAAGCCGGCUAGAAGCAUGUGCACCCACUGGAAGCUGUGGAAAGACGGAGACCGGUGGAGAAAUGCCAGCAAUAGGUGGUCUGGUAUGAUGUGUCACUAAACGGGCUUUACUUCUUU